GGUACUCCACGUGUCAUCCUCUCCAUUUCUCUUCUGCCGACUCCAUUUUCGUCCACUUCCAGUUCUUUCUUCCACUGAGUCAAACUCGACUCAACUCACCCCCCCUCUCUCUUUCUUGCCACUCUGCAACCAUUAAGCCUUGCCGAAUUUUCUACCGUUCCAUUUCCGGUCGUUCUCAAUUUCUCAUUUACUAGCCACUUCUACUUUCCCGUCUAGUACCAUGUCUUCAACCACCGCCGGGAGCUUUUCCUCCACGAGCACCGCAGCAGCGAAAAACGACGAAGCUGAAACUCUACGGCGCAACCGAAUCCUGUCGAGCAAGCUCUACUUCGACGUUCCCCCUUCUAAAGUUCCUCUGAUAUACUCGCCUUCAUACGACAUUGCCUUCCUCGGUAUAGAAAAGUUGCAUCCUUUUGAUUCUUCUAAAUGGGGCCGUAUCUGUCAGUUCCUCAUUGUGGCCGGUCUUCUGGAGAAAAAGCGCAUAGUUGAGCCUCUGGAGUCUACCAAAGAUGAUCUCCUAGUGGUGCAUCCAGAAUCAUACUUGAAUAGCCUAAAGAGUAGCUCAAAUGUUGCCAUCAUUGUUGAGGUCCCCCCUGUUGCUGUAUUGCCCAAUUGUGUUGUGCAGCAGAAAGUUCUUUCUCCUUUUCGCAAGCAGGUUGGAGGAACUAUAUUGGCUGCAAAGCUUGCUAAAGAACGUGGAUGGGCUAUCAACGUUGGGGGUGGGUUCCAUCAUUGUUCGGCUGCUAAAGGAGGUGGAUUUUGUGCUUAUGCAGACAUUUCUCUUUGCAUACAUUUUGCCUUUGCCCGUCUAAAUAUUUCAAGGGUGAUGAUUAUUGAUCUCGAUGCACACCAAGGAAAUGGGCAUGAAUUGGAUUUUUCUAGUGACAGAAGAGUUUAUAUUCUUGAUAUGUACAAUCCUCAUAUUUAUCCCUUUGACUAUGAAGCCAGGAGGUAUAUUGAUCAGCAAAUUGAAGUGCCGACUGGGACAUUAACAAGCGAUUACUUGUCAAAACUAGAUGAAGCUCUUGAGGUUGCUUCACGGAAUUUUAGUCCUGAGUUGAUCGUGUACAAUGCUGGCACUGAUAUUCUGGACGGAGAUCCUCUGGGCAGGUUGAAGCAAAAGAAGACAGAAAGCAAACGUAACGCUGCCGAUGAAGAUUUCAUGAAUGUUAACUAUCAAAUGCAUAUCUUUGCAGAUCAGCCCGGAGGGAAUUGCCACAAGGGAUGAAAAGGUGUUUAGUUUUGCUCGUGAGAGGAGCAUACCUCUUGUCAUGCUUACAUCAGGUGGUUAUAUGAAAUCCAGUGCAAGAGUGAUUGCAGAUUCAAUUAUCAACCUCUCCAAGAAGUCCUUCAUAGAUCUGCAGAGUUCACCAGGGAAAAUUUAACCGCCAUAGAGUCCUUUUUGUGCUCCUAUUACAAAAAACAAAAUGUUUACUACUUGGAAAUCAAAAUAGGUUCCUCAAUUUUUUCUUUGGUAUGCUAGUCAAGUACUCCUGGAAAACGAAAAGAAUAGUCUGUAGAUAUAGGAGAAAUUAGAAAAACGCCAUGGAUGUCAUCAUCUCCUCUCUCUCUCUCUCUCUCUCUCUAAGUGGUGAUAUGUAGACAGGCUACAAGUCUAAUACAAAGCUGUACUGCUGAAAUUGUUGUUUUAUUUUGGAGUGGCUGUAAGGAAGCAAGAUCAAGAGAUGAAGGCUGAAAGUUAUUCGGGUUAAACAGUGCAGAGCACUCAAUGAACUGGCAACUUGCUCCUGGAAUUCAUUGCAAAGGUCCAGUCUCGUUCAGACAAGAGUAUCAGAUUCUUCUGUCAGCCAUGAAAUGCUGAGCUGAAAUGGUUCUAUCAGCCAUGUAAUAUAUGUGUCACAUGAAUCUUUUUACGCUGUUGAGUUCUGAAACCUUUCUCUGGGAUUGGGAGUUAGCUACUUAAUCCUCCUCUUAAUGACCAAGAAACCAUGGGGAACGUGAGCCUUCGGCAAGAA